rnacentral:rRNA from 1 species
GGCUCAUUACAACAGCUAAAAUCCGCGCGAAGUUAGUCUCUUGGAUACUUCUAGUAAUUCUGGAGCUAAUACACGUGUGCACUUCGGUGUCAUUUAUUAGAUUCACCAACCGCUUCGGCGUUAAGUGAUGAUUCUGAAUAUCUUGCAGACCGCAUGCGAAAGCGGCGGCGGCUCGCGCAAUUAACUGCCCUAUCAACUUUUGAUGGUAGUUUAGUUGACUACCAUGGUCGUAACGGGUAACGGAGGAUCAGGGUUUGACUCCGGAGAGGAUGCCUGAGAAACGGCAACCACAUCUAAGGAAGGCAGCAGGCGCGCAAAUUACCCACUCUCAAUUCGAGGAGGUAGUGACAACAACUAACGAGACUGCUCCCUUUGGGAACAGUCAUCGAAAUGGGUACAAUUUAAACCCUUUAACGAGGAUCAAUGAGAGGGCAAGUCUGGUGCCAGCAGCCGCGGUAAUUCCAGCU